rnacentral:rRNA from 1 species
GACGAACGCUGGCGGCGUGCUUAACACAUGCAAGUCGAACGAAGUGGCGAACGGUUGAGUAAUACGUGGGAACCUGCCCUCCUUUUUGGGCUAAUCCUUGGAAACGGGGUCUAAUACCGAAUAUUUUAGGAUGGGCUCGCGGCCUAUCAGCUUGUUGGUGGGGUGAUGGCCUACCAAGGCGGUGACGGGUCGCCGGCCUGAGAGGAUGAUCAGUCACACUGGAAAUGAGACACGGUGCAGACUCCUACGGGAGGCAGCAGGGGGGAAUAUGGGACAAUGGGCGAAAGCCUGAUCCAGCCAUGCCGCGUGUGUGAAGAAGGUCUUCGGAUUGUAAAGAACUUUAAGUUGGGAGGCGUUACCAACAGAAUAAGCACCGGCUAACUUCGUGCCAGCCGCCGCGGUAAUAC